CUUUUCUCUCUGCUGGACCCGUAGAAGCAGAGCAAGUCUUACCAGGUCACAACAGCUCAGUCUCUUGUUGUUAAAAAAAAAAAGUCUGGUUUAGAAAACAGCUGGGUCUUGGAGAUGCCCCCCUUUCCUUCCUUCUCCCCCAGUUCUAAGCUUGAAGGAGAAGACAAGAGAGUUAUUUAUUAGUCUCCUGAAGAUGCUGAAGAUGAAGGCUUCUCUGUGGUCUGGGAAGUCCCAAAUCAUUUCUUGUCAUCUCCAUGGAGUUCCACACGAAUGUCCUGGAUGGAGUUCCCAGGAGCAGAAUGGAGACUUGGAGCUGUGAGCAACUUCUCAGUCAUAACAGAACCAGUGUUUAGCCGCAAACGCAUCUGGUCGAGACCCUAGACGGACCUUUGAGCUGCUGGUCUUCACUUCCACCCAUCUCUGCUGCUUAACGAACAGGACUUCCUAUUGAAGGAACCCAGGCGUAGGAGCCCCAAGCUGUGAUUACUCAACUCUGCAGUCAACCCAAGGAAACUCUGCAGAUAUAAGAGCUCAGCCCUGGAGUCAGGCUGCCUUGUGAGUGACCUGUAGCAAGUUACCUGAUCUCUCAACACCUGUUCCUUCAUCCGUAACAUGGAGAUAAUUAUAGUACCUGCCUUAUAAGGCAGUCAGGAGAACAAGAUGAGAUAAAUGGUGUCAAAUGUUUUGCACAGCAUCUCAUACAUGGUAACUAUCCAUCUGUGUGAGUUGUUCUUAUUAGGAUGUGAACAAAGGCUGAACUGCUGUCAUAAUGGCCCUGGCUCACUGUAGCAGGCUGAGCGUGGAGAGUGUGCUGUGGUGCGUGUGUUCGAGCUUCAGUCUGGGCGCAGUAAGUUGCCCUUAUCAAGGGUGUGCAGGAACAUGGUUCCUAAAUGGUCUUAAUCCUGGGCAGCCACUGCUCACGUCUGUGCUUCAGCCAUCCGUAUCUCAGUCCGUGCCAGGCUCUGCUAAUUAGCAUACUGAAUGCCAGGAGUGACAUCUUAAUGGCGAAAAUUGUAGCCUAUCUACUAUUGUGAGAAAUGUGACCACUGGCCUGGUGACUAGUAAGAUUAAAGGUAUUAAGACAGAUGGGUUGGAGAACCCCUCCUGCCCUUCCUUGCCUUCACAGAAUGUAAGAAUCAAUGAAAUUUCUCACCUGGAACCUGGGGGAAUGCAAAGGAGGUCUGAUUCCUAAAGGAACCUAUGUUCCUUUUCUGGUUUAGGAGGCUCAUAUGGAAUCUGAUGCUCAUAUGGAAUCUGUCUAAGGAUAAAGUUAGGAUGAGU
ensembl:lncRNA